rnacentral:lncRNA from 1 species
CCUACUUCUCUCACAUACUAGGUGCUCAAUAAAUGUAGGACGCAGGAAGCGAAAAAUCCGAAUCUGCCCCCAAUCCUCAAGGGCGAAUGACAGGGAACGCAGGUUUCCUCAGAACCACCGUCUCCUCAGUGGGGCCACCUGACCUCAGCCGUUACGGCCCCAGCAGCAGGAGAGCAACCAAGAAGGCUCCGUCGAGCGAUGCGAGCUCUGGGAGACAGCGACGCCGCCUCCCGCUAGAGACCUGCCCCCCGGCCCGGCCCCGUGCCCAGCCCUGCCCAGCGCGCGGGGGUCGGCGAAGGCGCCGCGGACGCACCAACGGCGGAGGAUCCGCGAUGCAAAUGCACUAGCGGCACCCCCUAACUCACUCCCUCCACACCCCGCGCCGCCUCCUCCUCCGGCAGCAGCGGUAGAAGGACCCACCCUGCCCCCCCACCCCACCCUCCGCCGACUCCGGCUCCUGCCUCGACUAUUAUUUUAUUUAUUUUGGGUCGUGCACAAGCCUCAGUGCCUGCAGCCCGCGCCUCCUCGGACCGCGGGCGCCUCCUCCCUCGGUUCCGGAGCCCGAGACCCCGGCCACCUUCGCCUCGACACCCCCAGAGCCCCGCCAGCUGCCGCGAGUCUCCGCGGCUGGGAGCUUGUUAGAGGCUGUCUUUUUGGGGGGUUCUGGUUUCUCGACAUUUUUGUUUUCAGCCAAGGGGAGGCUAUCGUGAUUUUUUCCCCUUUGAGCCCAGGUUCUGCUCUUUGGGGGGGUGGGGGGCGCGCCGAGCCGGGGAGCCGUGCCAGCCGAGUCGUGCGGGCUGUGGCAGGGAAGGGGCCACCAUGGGAUGUACUCUGAGCGCAGAGGAGCGAGCCGCCCUCGAGCGGAGCAA